rnacentral:lncRNA from 1 species
GGAAAUAUUAACGAUCCCCUAAGACACCACUUAAGGAAGCAGACACGGAGGCCCGGGCCCACCUAGACGUGAUCAAAGCUCCGCCUCGCCCGACCAAGACGCCAGGAUCGGGAACGUCCGACCCCCUUCCACAAAGUUUCCGCCUCGCCCGACUGCGGCCCCGGGGUCUGGGGCGCCCGACCCCUCGUCACGAAGUUCCGCCUCGUCCAACCCCAAGCGAAGGGGUCGGGCGCGUUGAGGCCCCCGGGGCAGGCAUCCCCCUCGGAUACGGUCCAGAUGGACGAGACCGAC